AACACCAAGAGAGAACAGAUUUUUGUACAGCGUUGUAUCACUGUGGUGGGUGUUCGGAGGAGGAACCCAGCUAACCAUCACAGGUCAGACCCCAGUAUCUCCUUCGGUGCAAGUCUUUGCUCCUUCCCAGGAAGAGGUCAGAAGCCCGAAUCCAUAUACGGUCGUGUGUCUCCUAAGCGGUUUUUACCCAGGUGCUUUCACCUUGCAAUGGAAGGGGGGUGAAAACGUGAUAAAUUCUGGAGUGGAGACCACCAAAGCCAGCAAGCAAGGUGACAAAUAUCUUGCCAGCAGUUACCUGAAAUUGACUGCAGCCGAGUAUGAAAAGUAUGACAGUUACACCUGUGAAGUGACACAUGAAAGUAAGAAAAUUUCGAAGACUGUGUCAAAAUCUGGAAGUUGUUAACUCUAUCAUGAAUUCCUCUCCUGCCCUCAGGAAGGAAAAAAGAGUCCCUUCUCCUGGGCUCUCAUUCAUUCUUUCCUAAACUUAGUUUGAUUGAUGAUAUCUCUUUCUAUCCAUGUAGUUACACCCUUUUAUCCCCUCCAUGCCAUCACCCUUCAAACAAUUCCCCCCCGCCCCUCCUACUUUUAUCUGUUACAUUCUACUGUCAGCAAUUAAUAAAGAUGGAUGUAUUUCA